rnacentral:rRNA from 1 species
UGCAGUCGAACGAUGAAGCCCAGCUUGCUGGGUGGAUUAGUGGCGAACGGGUGAGUAACACGUGAGUAACCUGCCCUUAACUCUGGGAUAAGCCUGGGAAACUGGGUCUAAUACCGGAUAGGAGCGUCCACCGCAUGGUGGGUGUUGGAAAGAUUUAUCGGUUUUGGAUGGACUCGCGGCCUAUCAGCUUGUUGGUGAGGUAAUGGCUCACCAAGGCGACGACGGGUAGCCGGCCUGAGAGGGUGACCGGCCACACUGGGACUGAGACACGGCCCAGACUCCUACGGGAGGCAGCAGUGGGGAAUAUUGCACAAUGGGCGCAAGCCUGAUGCAGCGACGCCGCGUGAGGGAUGACGGCCUUCGGGUUGUAAACCUCUUUCAGUAGGGAAGAAGCGAAAGUGACGGUACCUGCAGAAGAAGCACCGGCUAACUACGUGCCAGCAGCCGCGGUAAUACGUAGGGUGCGAGCGUUAUCCGGAAUUAUUGGGCGUAAAGAGCUCGUAGGCGGUUUGUCGCGUCUGUCGUGAAAGUCCGGGGCUUAACCCCGGAUCUGCGGUGGGUACGGGCAGACUAGAGUGCAGUAGGGGAGACUGGAAUUCCUGGUGUAGCGGUGGAAUGCGCAGAUAUCAGGAGGAACACCGAUGGCGAAGGCAGGUCUCUGGGCUGUAACUGACGCUGAGGAGCGAAAGCAUGGGGAGCGAACAGGAUUAGAUACCCUGGUAGUCCAUGCCGUAAACGUUGGGCACUAGGUGUGGGGACCAUUCCACGGUUUCCGCGCCGCAGCUAACGCAUUAAGUGCCCCGCCUGGGGAGUACGGCCGCAAGGCUAAAACUCAAAGGAAUUGACGGG